rnacentral:lncRNA from 1 species
UUAUUUGACGUACAAUAAUUUCUAUAUGCCUAUUAUGAAUCUGCACCCCCUGGGAGCGAUAAACCUGUUGGAUUUUAUUAACCAAAGAGAUUCGGCUUUGCGCUAUAGUUAGCUCAGCACCAAUCAAGAAUCCCCAAGGAAUUCCAAGAAUUCUUGGUAUACAUUUGUUCCAACCCUCAACCCUCUUUUCUAGAUUCAUGGAUAUUGAAUCAAUCGAACGCACUUCUAAGACCUGUUCUACUUUUGGAAGACCCUGUGUUAUAUCACCAGAUCUCGAUUUUUCAUAUAUAAAUGUAACUAAUGUAUCUCCUUCGUAAAGGGUUUCCCCAUAAUGGCCAUGAACAGUUGCUCCGGGGGUGGCCAAAUAAGGCUUAGCUGAUCGUAUCACUAUCGAGUCAACUUGAACAAGUAUAACUUGACCCGAUUUGAGGGGCGGUCCAUUUUUGGCUAUACAUACAUUUUCACAAAUAAACUGUCCAAGACUAAUUAUUUUAGAUGUCUCUGCACAAUAAUAGUGAUGGAGAAAAGACCAAUUCAAAUUGAAUGGAUUUAAAAUAAUGUUACGGCAUGGAUCGGGAUUAAAAAUUUUUCCAUUUUCAUCCAUUAAAUAAUAUUUUAAUUUAAUCACUUGAAAAGUCUGUUUUAAAUUGUCAAGUUGCAAAUAUUUAGUUACUAAGAUCUGAUUAUGAGUUAUUAAAUGGUAAGAUGAAUAAAAAUUCUCAAUUGGAAGGCAUGUUCCUAAAGGGCCCAAUGAAUUCCUAAUUGGAAUUAGGGGAUCUUUUUUAAUUGAUUCUUUUAUCACACUGUGAUAUUUUACAUCUUUGAAUGGCUCCAUUCGAGAACAAUUGGCUGCUGACAAAAUUAUCAACGACUGACAUUCCUUAUUUCUAUUCAACAACGUAUGAAUAGUUCCUUGAGGUUGGUUAAGAGAUUGUUGAAUUUUUGCCUUGGAAUAGGAAUAAAUAGCAGAAAAGGGAUUGAUAUUGGUACAAUCCGAUCCAUUAUCAGAGAGCAAUCCUGACCCCGACGGAUCAUUCCUUUUUCCGAUAUACGAAAUAGGGGAUUUCACUAAGUUGAUUUUUAGGAAAUGUCGAAUCAAACCAUUUGUCCUUAUUUCAACAAAAGAAGCACGGGCUUCUUCGCAAGAAGAACUUUUUUUGUCUUGGUUCCAAUUCAAUACUAAACAAGUCCGAACUAAUUGAAUACUUGUGUCAGAAAUUCCUCGAAUCGGUUUGCCAUUUCCAUAAAGGAUAUAAUUGACAAUUCGAAGUUGCACAUUAUCCCUUUCCUGCAAUGGAUCCGGUGGAAAAAGGGUUCCUAAAUUUAUACCGUCCGUUAUUUCAUAUGUGACGACAGGUCGAACUAAAACAAAAAACCUUUUCUUACUAGGUGUAAUUCGUUGGACAUAGAUCCAAUUUUGAACUUUUUUGUAUUCCUUGGAAUUUCUUUUUCCUGUUCCUGGUGGUAUCAAAACGCCGGUAUGCCUGGAUAUCUUAUCCGUCUCUCCAGGAAAAUGGAUAUCUCCAGAAAAGAUUUUCAGUUCAAUUCGUUUUUUUUUUCUCUCCACCCGGACCAACCCACCGACUCGGCUUCUUAGAUUUAAGGUGAUUUGUGUAUCGACCCCAACGAUACUAUUGUUCCGUACCAUUAGGGAAGAAGAUCCGGGCAAGAUAUGCACCUCUUCAGGAAUGAAAAAAAAUCGAUCUACUUUCAUUUGGUAUUUUGGCCUAAAUUCCUUGACUCCUCGAUACUCAAUCAAAUCCUCUUUUUUGAUGACUGAAUGCGUUUCUAUAGUCCCAUAUUUAAUAAUGCCCGAACUCUUUCUUCUGUAUCGAGGAUCAUCGAAAUAAGCAAGAAUACUAUUUCGACGGAAAAUACCAUUUACGGGGAUUUCAAUCGAGAUACCUGAACAGGGCAUUAGUUCAUUCUCGAGUUCUUGAAUCGAGUGUAGUGGAAUGAUGAAUUUAUUUCUUCGCCUUUUUGACAAUAAAGCAGAAUUCCCGUGAAGAAUAGGCGAAUAUACGAGAUUAUACUGGCCAGUACAUAUGAUUCGAUUAAGGUCUGAAUAAUCAGGAAUCCUAUCUUCUUUUUGACCAUAAAAAUCCGAACUAAACAAUUUCUGCCUCGCCUGAUCAUUGGUUACUGAGAGGUUAGAAGUAUAUCUUCGCUUGCCAGAAAGAGAAUGCGCAUUCAUUUGAUCCUGAUCCUUGUGGAUCGAAAGGUAGACUAGACUGGACCUGCACGGCCCUCCUAAUAAUAUCCAUAAAUGACUUGUUUUUGGUAAUAGAUGAACAUUACCAUAUGUAAAUUCGGGUGCAUGAUAGACAUCGGUACUCCAGUGCAUUUCUCCGUCUGAAUCAGAAUAAAUAUGUUUUCGAACCUUCUCUUUAAAAUUCAAAGUGGAUAUUCCUGCGCGAAUCUCAGCAAUUACUUGUUCUGAUUCUACGUAUUGAUCGUUUUGAACUAAAAGCAAACUUUUGGGUGGAAUAUUCACAUUAUG